AACGGUCUAUACCUGCGGUACCUGCGGAAGGAUCAUUACCGAGUUUACAACUCCCAAACCCAUGUGAACAUACCUAUCGUUGCUUCGGCGGGAUCGCCCCGGGCGCCUUGUGUGCCCCGGAUCCAGGCACCCGCCGGGGGACCUUAACUCUUGUUUUAUUUAGAAUCUUCUGAGUAGUUUUUACAAAUAAAUAAAAACUUUUAACAACGGAUCUCU
rnacentral:misc_RNA from 1 species